rnacentral:rRNA from 1 species
ACGAACGCUGGCGGCGUGCUUAACCCAUGCAAGUCGAACGGAAAGGCCCUGCUUUUGUGGGGUGCUCGAGUGGCGAACGGGUGAGUAACACGUGAGUAACCUGCCCUUGACUUUGGGAUAACUUCAGGAAACUGGGGCUAAUACCGGAUAGGAGCUCCUGCUGCAUGGUGGGGGUUGGAAAGUUUCGGCGGUUGGGGAUGGACUCGCGGCGUAUCAGCUUGUUGGUGGGGUAGUGGCUUACCAAGGCUUUGACGGGUAGCCGGCCUGAGAGGGUGACCGGCCACAUUGGGACUGAGAUACGGCCCAGACUCCUACGGGAGGCAGCAGUGGGGAAUAUUGCACAAUGGGCGGAAGCCUGAUGCAGCAACGCCGCGUGCGGGAUGACGGCCUUCGGGUUGUAAACCGCUUUCGCCUGUGACGAAGCGUGAGUGACGGUAAUGGGUAAAGAAGCACCGGCUAACUACGUG